UAUAGUAUUUAAAGAGAAUUGAUGGAAAAUAUACUGCAAACUGCAGAAACAAAAACAAGAAUCGUUCAAUUUUGUUACAGUGUCAACUAGUUGGUGAUUCAUUUUUUUUCAACAUUGCUUUUGCAGUUUUUUUAUCAAUCGUCUUUAAAUACUAUUUGUGCCCUGAUUAAAAAAAAUAAUGAGCUGAAGUAAAAAGUAAUAUAUUAUACUGUGGAAAGUGAAAAAGUGUAUUUAUUUUCAAUGUUAAACUGUUUCUUGACAAACUGUUUGUAAGCUACUUUUGGAUUUUAGACCACUGCGGAAUCAUUGGGAACUGCAGAGCCGAUGAGCUCUCACCUAAGGGCACUCUACCCACAUUCUCAUCAUAUUUGGCGCUGGAUCAGUCUUCCUACAAACAUUUGUGACUGUGAGAUCCUUCUGGUCUAGUAUCUUGCAUUGCACACUCCCUCAAUGGCUAGCGGUGUCAAACUGAAGCUGAAACAUGUCGAUAGCACGAACUUUGGCGAGACCGAUAAACUGGUCCGUAUACAUACAUAUCAGUAGGACGGCGGCUCGUGCGGCCAACUCCUCUGCCCUACGCUGUUGCGUCAGCUCUUUAGCGCGCUCAGUCCAAAUCAGUUCUUUUAAACGUUGGAAGCUUCCUUGUACAUUCACAGAGUUCG